rnacentral:rRNA from 1 species
GUUGCCUACGGGGCGCAGCAGUGGGGAAUAUUGCACAAUGGGGGAAACCCUGAUGCAGCGACGCCGCGUGAGUGAAGAAGUAAUUCGUUACGUAAAGCUCUAUCAGCAGGGAAGAAAAUGACGGUACCUGAGUAAGAAGCCCCGGCUAACUACGUGCCAGCAGCCGCGGUAAUACGUAGGGGGCAAGCGUUAUCCGGAUUUACUGGGUGUAAAGGGAGCGUAGACGGAGGAGCAAGUCUGAUGUGAAAAUCCGGGGCCCAACCCCGGAACUGCAUUGGAAACUGUUUAUCUAGAGUGUCGGAGAG